UGUGAUAUCACCCUGAACCUGCCUUAUGUUGCCUGAUUUCAGAAGCUAAGUAGGGUUGGGCCUGGUUGGUAUGUGGAUGGAAAACCAUCAGAAAUACUAGGUCAGACAA
rnacentral:rRNA from 1 species